UACGGAAGGCAGCAGUGGGGAAUAUUGCACAAUGGGCGAAAGCCUGAUGCAGCUAUGCCGCGUGUAUGAAGAAGGCCUUAGGGUUGUAAAGUACUUUCAUCGGGGAGGAAAAACAAAACUAAUAAUUUUAUUUCUUGACGUUACCCGAAAAAGAAGCACCGGCUAACUCCGUGCCAGCAGCCGCGGUAAUACGGAGGGUGCUAGCGUUAAUCAGAAUUACUGGGCGUAAAGAGCACGUAGGUGGUUUUUUUAAGUCAGAUGUGAAUCCCUGGGCUUAACCUGGAACUGCAUUUUGAAACUGAAAUACUAGAGUAUCGUAGAGGGAGGUAGAAUUCUAGGUGUAGCGGUGAAAUGCGUAGAUAUCUGGAGGAAUACCUGUGGCGAAAGCGGCCUCCUAAACGAAUACUGACACUGAGGUGCGAAAGCGUGGGGAGCAAAC
rnacentral:rRNA from 1 species